rnacentral:rRNA from 1 species
GGGUUGUGAGGUUAAGCGACUAAGCGUACACGGUGGAUGCCCUGGCAGUCAGAGGCGAUGAAGGACGUGCUAAUCUGCGAAAAGCGUCGGUAAGGUGAUAUGAACCGUUAUAACCGGCGAUGUCCGAAUGGGGAAACCCAGUGCAAUUCGUUGCACUAUCGUUAACUGAAUACAUAGGUUAACGAGGCGAACCGGGGGAACUGAAACAUCUAAGUACCCCGAGGAAAAGAAAUCAACCGAGAUUCCCCCAGUAGCGGCGAGCGAACGGGGAGCAGCCCAGAGUCUGAAUCAGCUUGUGUGUUAGUGGAACGGUCUGGAAAGUCCGACGGUACAGGGUGAUAGUCCCGUACACCAAAAUGCACAGGCUGUGAACUCGAAGAGUAGGGCGGGACACGUGGUAUCCUGUCUGAAUAUGGGGGGACCAUCCUCCAAGGCUAAAUACUCCUGACUGACCGAUAGUGAACCAGUACCGUGAGGGAAAGGCGAAAAGAACCCCGGCGAGGGGAGUGAAAAAGAACCUGAAACCGUGUACGUACAAGCAGUGGGAGCACCUU